CGUAUAUAACUCUGAAGCACUGUAGAUAUUGCAUGGACUUUGGAACAAGAUAAGAAAAAAAGAUUUGCACCUGAACUCCCCCCCCCGGCACUGCCAGCAGCUCCUUUCCAAGAUACACUUCUCUCUAAAUUAAAAGAAUAGAUGACAAAGCCAGGGGCAGCACAAUGUCCUUAUUACAGAGGUAGCUGGAAUAUCAGAUGGAUGACCAGAAGGAGUGGGGAUGACAAAGAAGCACUUGUAGAAACACUUAUAUUUAGAAGAAAUGCAUUAAAAAAAUAGUAAUCUUUGUUAUCGUGUACAGCCCUUUCCAUAACCUGCAAGCACGGCAGCCCUGACAUCCACUGCUUUUGCACAUCUUUACCACGAGAGGCUGCCUCACCUAUCUUGGUCCAUCAAGGAGCAAAGAAGCAAACCUGGCUAGUCAGAUGGUGGAGAGGCAAGUGACCUGUGGUCUAGAAGCACGAGAAGGAAUGAUUCCUGUUUCUAUUAUGGCAAAGACUUCAGUCUCAUGACCCUUGCUAAACAGGAUAACCACAGAGAGGUGGAGCUGAGCCUGCUGAGUUACGGCCAGCGCAGGUCACCCCGUGGGAGGCUGCAGCGGUGGCAGGGGACGUGCA